rnacentral:rRNA from 1 species
GAUAAACGCUGGCGGCGUGCAUAACACAUGCAAGUCGAACGAAGUGGCGAACGGGUGAGUAACACGUGCGUAACCUGCCUUACACGAGGGGAUAGCCUUUGGAAACGAAGAAUAAUACCCUAUGGUGUAAGAUGGACUUGCGUCUGAUUAGAUAGUUGGUGAGAUAAAAGCCCACGAAGGCGACGAUCAGUAGCCGGCUUGAGAGAGGGUACGGCCACAUGGGGACUGAGACACGGCCCAAACUCUACGAGAGGCAGCAGUGGGGAAUUGUGCACAAGGGGGGAAACCCUGAUGCUGCGACGCCGAGGGAUUUAGAAGGCCUUAGGGUUGUAAAAAUCUUUUAUAUGGGAUGCAGUACCAUAAGAAUAAGGUCCGGCUAAAUACGUGCCAGCAGCCGCGGUAAUAC